AUUGCUUCUCAGUCUUUUGGCUAAGAUCAAGUGUAGUAUCUGUUCUUAUCAGUUUAAAUAUGAAAAUGUUUUAUUUAUAAAUUCUGGGUUUACUCUAAUUUGUCUUUAAUAUUUAUGAGAUGGAGAUACCUAACUGUACAAUGAGGAUAUUCAGCAAGCUGUUGGGGGCCUAGGAGGAGUUGAAUGUCUAACCAGA